rnacentral:lncRNA from 1 species
CUACAGUCCUUUCUCGUUUUCCUCCAUCUCAACACCACUUGUAGUUCUCAACCCUCGUGAACUGCCACAUCAAUCUCCUCCUACUCUUACUCCUCGACAAUACUAAAAGUACAAGUUGUAAUAGAAAACAAGAAGGUGACCAAAACAUGUGCAUCCCACUCUUGUUUCUCAUUCAGAGUCAGUCAUGUAAAGCAAUCGACAUGAGCAACC